UACGGAGGGUGCUAGCGUUGUUCGGAAUUACUGGGCGUAAAGGGCGCGUAGGCGGCCGUUUGCGUCGGAUGUGAAAGCCCGGGGCUCAACCUCGGAACGGCAUUCGAUACGGGACGGCUGGAGACCGGGAGAGGAGAGUGGAAUAGCCAGUGUAGAGGUGAAAUUCGUAGAUAUUGGCUGGAACACCGGUGGCGAAAGCAAUCCCCUGGGCCUGCACUGACGCUCAUGCACGAAAGCGUGGGGAGCAAACAGG
rnacentral:rRNA from 1 species